GACCCGCACAAGCGGUGGAGUAUGUGGUUUAAUUCGAUGCAACACGAAGAACCUUACCAGGGCUUAAAUGCAGAGCGAAUAGUUUGGAAACAGGCUAGCCUUCGGGCGAUCUGCAAGGUGCUGCAUGGCUGUCGUCAGCUCGUGCCGUGAGGUGUUGGUUAAGUCCCGCAACGAGCGCAACCCCUAUCUUUAGUUGCCAGCGAGUAAUGUCGGGGACUCUAAAGAAACUGCCUACGCAAGUAGAGAGGAAGGCGGGGACGACGUCAAGUCAUCACGGCCCUUACGUCCUGGGCCACACACGUGCUACAAUGGUUGGUACAGAGGGCAGCUACCGGGUGACCGGAUGCG
rnacentral:rRNA from 1 species